CUACGGGAGGCAGCAGUGGGGAAUAUUGGACAAUGGGGGAAACCCUGAUCCAGCAAUGCCGCGUGUGUGAAGAAGGCCUGCGGGUUGUAAAGCACUUUCGGUUGGGAGGACUGCUUCUAGCACUAAUAUUGUUGGAAGUUGACGUUACCUUCAGAAGAAGCACCGGCUAACUCCGUGCCAGCAGCCGCGGUAAUACGGAGGGUGCAAGCGUGAAUCCGAAUUACUGGGCGUAAAGCGCGCGUAGGCGGCUAGAUCAGUCGGGUGUGAAAGCCCCGGGCUUAACCUGGGAACUGCAUCCGAUACUGUCUAGCUUGAGUACAGGAGAGGAGAGUGGAAUUCCACAUGUAGCGGUGAAAUGCGUAGAUAUGUGGAGGAACACCAAUGGCGAAGGCAGCUCUCUGGCCUGAUACUGACGCUGAGGUGCGAAAGCGUGGGGAGCAAACAGGAUUAGAUACCCCCGUAGUC
rnacentral:rRNA from 1 species